rnacentral:snRNA from 1 species
AUCGCUUCUCGGCCUUUUGGCUAAGAUCAAGUGUAGUAUCUGUUCUUAUCAGUUUAUAAAAGUUAACCCACUAUUUGGUCAAGCAUUAACUAACUCAUCCCUAAUGCCUUGUCAGGGCCAGACCAAAUGAUUUCAUGGGCCUUAUGUGGCCCAAGGGCCAGAUGUUCCCCAUCCUUGUUUUAUUUAUU